AUGGCACGAUGAGGGAAUUUUCACGAAAACACCUUAAAACGCUCUGAUGCCUCAUAUAAAGAUUCUUCAUCAUGUUUCUGAAAUGAAGUAAUCUCAUUGCGAAGCUU